AACGAACGCUGGCGGCAGGCCUAACACAUGCAAGUCGAACGCGUGGCGGACGGGUGAGUAAUGUCUGGGACACUGCCCGAAGGAGGGGGAUAACUCCUGGAAACGGUAGCUAAUACCGCAUACCAGCGGAUGUGCCCCGAUGGGAUGAGCCAGUAGGUGGGGUGACGGCUCACCUAGGAAACGAUCCCUAGCUGGUCUGCGAGGAUGACCAGCCACACUGGAACUGAGACACGGUCCAGACUCCUACGGGAGGCAGCAGUAGGGAAUAUUGCACAAUGGGCGCAAGCCUGAUGCAGCCAUGCCGCGUGUAUGAAGAAGGCUUUCGGGUUGGAAAGUACUUUCAGCAAGGAGGCGUGACUCGAAGAGGAAGCGCCGGCUAACUCCGUGCCAGCAGCCGCGGUAAUAC
rnacentral:rRNA from 1 species